GAGUUUGAUCGUGGCUCAGAUUGAACGCUGGCGGCAGGCCUAACACAUGCAAGUCGAGCGGAUGAAGGGAGCUUGCUCCUGGAUUCAGCGGCGGACGGGUGAGUAGUGCCUAGGAAUCUGCCUGGUAGUGGGGAUAACGUCCGGAAACGGGCGCUAAUACCGCAUACGUCCUGAGGGAGAAAGUGGGGGAUCUUCGGACCUCACGCUAUCAGAUGAGCCUAGGUCGGAUUAGCUAGUUGGUGGGUAAAGGCCUACCAAGGCGACGAUCCGUAACUGGUCUGAGAGGAUGAUCAGUCACACUGGAACUGAGACACGGUCCAGACUCCUACGGGAGGCAGCAGUGGGGAAUAUUGGACAAUGGGCGAAAGCCUGAUCCAGCCAUGCCGCGUGUGUGAGAAGGUCUUCGGAUUGUAAAGCACUUUAAGUUGGGAGGAAGGGUCAGUAAGUUAAUACCUUGCUGUUUUGACGUUACCAACAGAAUAAGCACCGGCUAACUUCGUGCCAGCCGCCGCGGU
rnacentral:rRNA from 1 species